UAAGGAAUAUUGGUCAAUGCCCGCAAGGGUGAACCAGCCAUGCCGCGUGCAGGAUGACGGCCCUCUGGGUUGUAAACUGCUUUUGGAUAGGAAGAAAAUGAUUUAUUUAUGAGUUUUUGACGGUACUAUCAGAAUAAGCACCGGCUAACUCCGUGCCAGCAGCCGCGGUAAUACGGAGGGUGCGAGCGUUAUCCGGAAUUACUGGGUUUAAAGGGUGCGUAGGCGGUUAGAUAAGUCAGGGGUGAAAGGAUUCAGCUUAACUGGAUAAUUGCCUUUGAUACUGUUUGACUGGAAUUAUGUUGAGGUUGGCGGAAUGUGACAUGUAGCGGUGAAAUGCAUAGAUAUGUCAUAGAACACCGAUUGCGUAGGCAGCUGACUGGGCAUAUAUUGACGCUGAGGCACGAAAGCGUGGGGAGCGAACA
rnacentral:rRNA from 1 species